rnacentral:misc_RNA from 1 species
GUAACAAGGUUUCCGUAGGUGAACCUGCGGAAGGAUCAUUAAAGCGUUGCCGACGUCGGCCCCGGCCGUUCGGCUUGAAAUAUAGCCUGGACGGUGCUGGAGGUCGCCGGCAGUUGCCCAUUCUUGCCUACUGACCCAGUUGCCUCGGCGAGCCGUGCCACUCGUGGCAGACCGGAAGCCGUUUGAACCCCUAGGGCUCAGGCGGCCCUGGCCAGUGCCCGCCGACGGACAGACUUAAAAUCUUUAUAUAUUGGCCGUCUGAGCGUAUAAAGCAAAUCAAUUAAAACUUUCAACAACGGAUCUCUUGGUUCCGGCAUCGAUGAAGAACGCAGCGAAAUGCGAUAAGUAAUGUGAAUUGCAGAAUUCCGUGAAUCAUCGAAUCUUUGAACGCACAUUGCGCCCCCUGGUAUUCCGGGGGGCAUGCCUGUUCGAGCGUCAUUGCAACCCUCAAGCUCGGCUUGUGUGAUGGGCGACCGUCCUUCCCCUAGGGGCGGGACGCGUCCGAAAAGCAGUGGCUAGGCCGCGAUUCCGGCGCCUGAGCGAAUGGGACUUCCACCGCUUCUAGGACCGGCCGGCACUUGGCCUUUAAACACGGUCUUAACUGACCAUCUAGGUUGACCUCGGAUCAGGUAGGGAUACCCGCUGAACCUAAGCAUAU